UUGACAAGAUAUUUUCUAUUUAUUAUUAAAGCACCCAUUUGACACAUUUGACAUGUCUGCCACAACAGGUCCGUAAGCUUAAUGGGAUACACAUUGUAGUGGAGGUCCUGAAGAAAAAUAUGGCCCUGGACACCGUCCAGAACCGAGCAGCCUGGGCUUUGGGAAACUUGGCUAUGGAUCCAGUGAACUCUGCACUCAUCCACUCGGCUGCACAGCAACAUUCUGUACGGAGACUCUAAUGAGACAACUCAAUGCAACAGGAAGGAAGACUAAAGUGCUUCUGCAAACAAUGGGUCAAAGUAAACCAAUCUCGUCAGGUGGCCUUACUUGAAGGAGAUAAAGGUACAAGAAGUUGAUGCGGAAGUGGAACUCCUAAUUGGAGUAUAUGUCCCAAAGGCAAUGGAGCCCUGGCAAAUCAUAAAUAGCCAAGGCAAUGGUCCCUACGCUGUAAGAACCCUCUUAUGGGUAGUAAAUGGACCACUCAACUCAUCUUCAGCUGUGGAUACGUUUGGAGGGCUGCAAGAAGGAGGAAGCAGGAAAGGAGCAAGGUCUCUGUUCAUCGAGCUUUUCAAGUCUCAGUCGGCGUCCAGGAGAAUAGAGCUGCAGCUGGAGUUGGCCACUUUCCCUCCAAUCCUUCUACGAACACACACACACACACACACACACACACACACACACACACACACACACACACACACACACACACACACACUUUAAAUUCCCAGUGACUUCUGUGUUGGGAGUAUAAUCCAAUGGAAGAGAAUAAUCGAGCGGAGUACAGUUACAAGAAGUAUUUAAAUCUAAUCCUUUGCAUUUGAUUGGACCGUUACAAAGUGGGCGUACUUAGCACAGUACUGAGCAACAGGACUCCACUCACACCUCCCUUGUUGCUUAAAGUUGCAUAUUGUUUGAAGGAUGGAUGUCAUGAUAUUAGUGCUUGAAAUUGGUUGUUACUAGACUACAUAUGCACAGACAGAUUAUUUUGUAAAAAUGUUUGGGUUGUAUUGUUGAAUUGAGUAGGUGCACAAUAUAACUGUGGAUGUUAUAUUCAAUGUUUAAAAAUGCAUUUAGUCUUUUAAUUUCAACUUUAAAUCAAACGUAUCCCUUAUUUCAAAUAUAAGAUCAUGGAGGAGGAUGAUCUGCUACCUGGGAGCAUGGAAGAGAGGUCCGCCGUAGUCCCCGGCCAAGUGACCGUCCUCGGCCUGGAGGUGGCUGUAGAAGUGCAUUCCUUUCAGAGCCGUGUGGGCAGCUUCAGAGCCAGACACAAACACACUCUGUGGAGAGAAUGGGUGACUAGAAAUGAACACCAGAUACGUGUCAUAUACAAUUGAUGACCAUUAACAGAAACAGCUGAAUUUUCUAUUCUAUAUUUGUACAUUAGAAGUCUAAGAAGUACAUUAUUUCCUAAUAUGAUAAUGUAGGACAUUCUAUAUCUGAAAUCAUUCACACGCGUUGUUCUCACUGUAUACUACCAUGGUUUAUUGUGUCUGUUUUAUACUGUUGUUCAGUUGGUGCACAGAGUCCAAUGGAAUCAGAGCAAUGUAAAAUGUAGGAAAUAAGUAAUAAUCAUCAACCGAGUAAUUUAAAACAGCUUAGAAUGAAGACACAUUCCUACACAGUGUUGAACAAAUACAUCUUGGAGUAAGGGGUUUAUACUUCUACUCCUCUGACAAGCAGUGGAGUAAAGAGAAUACAAAUGAAAUACUCAAGUUUAAGAGCC